rnacentral:rRNA from 1 species
UACGUAGGAUCCAAGCGUUGUCCGGAUUUACUGGGAGUAAAGGGUGCGCAGGCGGACUUGUAAGUCAGGGGUGAAAUCUCACAGCUUAACUGUGAAACUGCCUUUGAUACUGCAAGUCUUGGAUCCAGAAGAGAGUUGUGGAAUUCCGAGUGUAGCAGUGAAAUGCGUAGAUAUUCGGAAGAACACCAGUGGCGAAGGCAGCAACUUGGUCUGGUAUCGACGCUCAGGCACGAAAGCAUGGGGAUCAAACAGG